rnacentral:rRNA from 1 species
AGUGAACGCUGGCGGUAGGCCUAACACAUGCAAGUCGAACGGCAGCACAGUAAGAGCUUGCUCUUACGGGUGGCGAGUGGCGGACGGGUGAGGAAUACAUCGGAAUCUACUUUUUCGUGGGGGAUAACGUAGGGAAACUUACGCUAAUACCGCAUACGACCUACGGGUGAAAGCAGGGGAUCUUCGGACCUUGCGCGAUUGAAUGAGCCGAUGUCGGAUUAGCUAGUUGGCGGGGUAAGGGCCCACCAAGGCGACGAUCCGUAGCUGGUCUGAGAGGAUGAUCAGCCACACUGGAACUGAGACACGGUCCAGACUCCUACGGGAGGCAGCAGUGGGGAAUAUUGGACAAAGGGCGCAAGCCUGAUCCAGCCAUACCGCGUGGGUGAAGAAGGCCUUCGGGUUGUAAAGCCCUUUUGCUGGGAAAGAAAAGCAGCAGGUUAAUACCCCGCUGUUCUGACGGUACCCAAAGAAUAAGCACCGGCUAACUUCGUG